rnacentral:rRNA from 1 species
UACAAAGGAGACUAGUGUUAAUCAUCUUUAUUGGGUUUAAAGGGUCCGUAGGCGGAUCUGUAAGUCAGUGGUGAAAUCUCACAGCUUAACUGUGAAACUGCCAUUGAUACUGCAGGUCUUGAGUGUUAUUGAAGUAGCUGGAAUAAGUAGUGUAGCGGUGAAAUGCAUAGAUAUUACUUAGAACACCAAUUGCGAAGGCAGGUUACUAAGCAACAACUGACGCUGAUGGACGAAAGCGUGGGGAGCGAACAGG